UACAGAGGUCCCAAGCGUUGUUCGGAUUCACUGGGCGUAAAGGGUGCGUAGGCGGUCGGGUAAGUCUGAUGUGAAAUCUCACAGCUUAACUGUGAAACUGCAUUGGAUACUAUCCGGCUCGAGGAAUGGAGGGGAGACUGGAAUACUUGGUGUAGCAGUGAAAUGCGUAGAUGUCUGGAGGAACACCGGUGGCGAAGGCGGCAUCCUGGACCAAUUCUGACGCUGAGGAGCGAAAGCCAGGGGAGCAAACGGG
rnacentral:rRNA from 1 species